CAAAUUCCCUCUUUUAGAAGCCAAAUCGUCAACUUCUCUCCAUUCACAUAUAAUACUUUAAAACUCCCAAAAUCAACUUUGGAAUUUAGUUAAGGUUUGGCAUGGAUGGCAUAGACGGAGGACGUAAAAAGCUUCUGACGAAGAAGCUGACGAGGAACGGAUUGGAGGAAGAGGAGGCGGAUUUGGGCGUUCAGACACGGAGUUAAAGGACUACAAUAUCUACGUUCGCGACAAUUGCUUUGCAUAUGAUCGAUCAUGUUUACGUUGUGAUCUAUGUGAGACAGAGCAUUGCCAUUAUUGGCAGAAAAAGAUCAUCAGGGAUAAAUGAUAGAAGUCAUUUAUGUGUAAGAAAUCCACUCGCCUAAAGCCUAGAGUUUUCAUAGUGACUGAUCCAAAAUACAGCAAAGAAACAUGGACAAUCAAGGACAACAACAACACUGGCGGUGGAUUUUCUGUAGAUCGACGUGUGGAACCCGAAGAGUGCAAGAGUUUCUACGAUUCAUACAAUUAGUCAAUGUUAUUUAUUGGCUCAUGUUUUGGUGUGAAUGUUGAGUUCGAGGUCAUUUCUUAACAGUUCAAAGGAAAGAAGAGACAACAGACAGUGACACUGGACUCAAAGAAGAAGUGAAGGAGCUCCAUACUCGUGUUCAUAGAAAGGAGAGAUGGUUGGCAUCUCCUCUGACAGAGACGGGAUUGACCUUCGGGUUUGAACACAUUUUGGUUAAGGCUCUCCACUUUCGAGUGGAUCUAUACCAAUUUUUUUUUUUUUUUUUUUUUUAAAAAAAGAAGGAGCUCCAUACUCUCUCUAUAAAGAAAACUCAAACGCUACAACAAUAGAAGUUUGCUGCAAAAGGU